UUCUGAGCAGUAUCCCCAGAUGCAAGAGAAAGCUUCAGAAUAGAGUCCAGAAGUAAAGACAGCAUUGCAGAACCAAAGUGCUGCAUUGGAUCUGACAGUAUGGCUCAAGGCCUAAUGUUUCUCAAACAUAUGUAUUGAAGCCCAUGUAGCAGCCCUACGUAUUUCAGAUACUGAUAAUUCAGGAUGUCUGAAAGUGGCACCAAAUCAAGCAGGAGGCAGCGAUGACACCACCAAUGUAAGAAUUUCUUCCAUUUCUGCACGCUAUGAGGCAGAGGACUGCUAGGUUUGGAUGAAAUGCAUAACUUGUGUCUUGGACAAGAGAUAAUGGUCAGGAGCUUGGAUGACAUUUGGACACAUAGAUGAAGCAGAUGUUGUGGAAGUUGCUGGUGCUUGCAGCUGUUGCUGCUCCUGGAUCCCUCUCUCUCCUCAGCAAUAUUCUUUUCAGAAUUAAACUGGUGUUUUUUCUUCUGGAGCGAUAAACAAUGGUUGGGAGUUAUUCUGUCCAGCAAGUCUUCUGUCCUCUUGGGCAGCUUUCUGAUAUCUCUCUCAGCUGUCUCAUGCAAUUGCUUUGUAUAUACUCAUGGGGGA